GCCUAGCUGGCUCAGUCGGUGGAGUAUGCAACUCUUAAUCUCAGGGUUGUGUGUUCGAGCCCCAUGUUGGGUG
rnacentral:tRNA from 1 species